rnacentral:ribozyme from 15 species
AAGCUAGGUUUUAUUUUAUCAUUUUGAUGCCGGCAUAUCCUCUCCCUGUUUUUUUUUUUUUUUUUUUUUUUUUUU